AUGGGCAAGCGCUUCAACUUAGCGGCGCCACUGCUGCUCACCUUAACCUUCUUGUUCUGCAGCUGCUCCAUGAUCUCUUCUUCUUCCCAAGCGUCGCCCGCUGGCUUCCUCCAAUGCGUCACCAAGGCUAACAUCUCGGUGUUCGAGCAGGGCGAGGAUUUGUUCAACACGCAGCUCCACAAAUACAUGAGGAACCCAAAGUUCCUGGCAAACACCACCGAGAGGCCGCUCUAUGUCGUGAUGCCGGUGAAUGCUCACCACGUGCAGGUCGCCGUGCGCUGCGGCAGCCUAAACGGGGUGCCCAUCCGCGUGCGCAGCGGCGGGCACAACUAUGAGGGCCUGUCGUACCGGUCCGUGCACACCGAGGGCUUCACCAUGCUCGACAUGUUGGAGCUACGCGCCGUGGUCGUCGACAACCAGACAUCGACAGCGUGGGUGGAGUCCGGCGCGACGCUCGGCGAGCUCUACUAUGCCAUAUCGAAGGCGAGUAGCCUUCUGGGAUUCCCGGCCGGCGUGUGCCCGACCGUCGGCGUCGGAGGCCAUUUUAGCGGCGGUGGCUUCGGCAAGAUGAUGCGCAAGCACGGGCUGGCCAUUGAUAACAUUAUCGAUGCUGAGUUGGUGGACGUCAAUGGCACGCUCCUGAACAAGACCACCAUGGGGGACGACGUCUUCUGGGCCAUCAGAGGCGGCGGCGGAGGGAGCUUCGGCGUCGUGCUGAAGUGGCAGGUGAGGCUCGUGACCGUCCCGGCGACGGUAUCGGUGUUCAAGGUCUCGGCGUCCAACAGCCAGGGAGCCGCCGUGCACGCGGUCACCAAGUGGCAGAAGGUGGCGCCGGCCCUGCCGGACGAACUGUACAUCAGGGCGCUUGUCCAGAACGACAUGGCCGUCUUUCGAGCAGUGUUCCUCGGCACAUGCGACACGCUCCUGUCUCUGGUGAUGAGCCAGAAAGAGAGACUGAAUUUGAGGCGCUCCGACUGCAAGGAGAUGAGCUGGAUCGAGUCCAUGGCCUAGGUAAACAACUGCACUGUGGAGGACCUCCCGAAGCGGACCACCUCCAAGAUCGACUCCAGCCAUGGCUUCAAGGCGACCACGGACUACGUCCGGCGGCCCAUUCGGCGGGAGGUGUGGGCCAAGAUCUUCAACAAGCAGGUUGGGCAGCCAAAUGCGCAGAUCGUCCUGGUCCCCUAUGGCGGGCGGAUGAGCAACGUGAAGGAGGACGCGACGCCGUUCCCGCACCGCGCCGGGGUGUUGUAUAGCAUGCAAUUGUACAACUACUGGCUGCCCGUGGAUUCGGGAGACGACUCGGCAAACGUGCAGAGCAAGUGGGUGAGGGACAUGUACGCCUUCAUGUCACCGUACGUGAGCUCUAAUUCCAUGUCAAGGGGAGCCUACUUCAACUGCAGGGACCUGGAUCUGGGUCCCAACUGGGGGCCGAAAUACUUCAAGGGUAACUACCAGAGGCUCACCAAGGCCAAGGCUGAGAUCGACCCCCACAAUUACUUCCGCAAUGAGCAAAGUAUCUCCCUGCCAAAAGGAGCAUCUUAA
rnacentral:rRNA from 1 species